rnacentral:rRNA from 1 species
UGGCGGCGUGCCUACACAUGCAAGUCGAACGGGAAUCUUCGGAUUCUAGUGGCGGACGGGUGAGUAACGCGUAAGAAUCUAACUUCAGGACGGGGACAACAGUUGGAAACGACUGCUAAUACCCGAUGUGCCGAAAGGUGAAACCUAAUUGGCCUGGAGAAGAGCUUGCGUCUGAUUAGCUAGUUGGUGGGGUAAAGGCCUACCAAGGCGACGAUCAGUAGCUGGUCUGAGAGGAUGAGCAGCCACACUGGGACUGAGACACGGCCCAGACUCCUACGGGAGGCAGCAGUGGGGAAUUUUCCGCAAUGGGCGAAAGCCUGACGGAGCAACGCCGCGUGAGGGAGGAAGGUCUUUGGAUUGUAAACCUCUUUUCUCAAGGAAGAAGUUCUGACGGUACUUGAGGAAUCAGCCUCGGCUAACUCCGUGCCAGCAGCCGCGGUAAUACGGGGGAGGCAAGCGUUAUCCGGAAUUAUUGGGCGUAAAGCGUCCGCAGGUGGUCAGCCAAGUCUGCCGUCAAAUCAGGUUGCUUAACGACCUAAAGGCGGUGGAAACUGGCAGACUAGAGAGCAGUAGGGGUAGCAGGAAUUCCCAGUGUAGCGGUGAAAUGCGUAGAGAUUGGGAAGAACAUCGGUGGCGAAAGCGUGCUACUGGGCUGUAUCUGACACUCAGGGACGAAAGCUAGGGGAGCGAAAGGGAUUAGAUACCCCUGUAGUCCUAGCCGUAACGAUGGAUACUAGGCGUGGCUUGUAUCGACCCGAGCCGUGCCGAAGCUAACGCGUUAAGU